rnacentral:rRNA from 1 species
UGGGGGAUAUUGCACAAUGGGCGAAAGCCUGAUGCAGCGACGCCGCGUGGGGGAUGAAGGCCUUCGGGUUGUAAACUUCUUUUGCUCUGAACAAGGCAUGCUAAUGGGUGUGUUGAGCGUAGGGGUUGAUUAGCGCCGGCUAACUACGUGCCAGCAGCCGCGGUAAUACGUAGGGCGCGAGUGUUCUCCGGUAUUUUUGGACGUAAAGGGCUUGUAGGUGGCUGGUUGCGUCUGUCGUGAAAGCUCAUGGCUUAACAGGGGGUUUGCGGUGGGGACGGGCUGGCUUGAGUGCAGUAGGGGAGGCUGGAAUUCCUGGUGUAGCGGUGUAAUGCGCAGAUAUCAGGAGGAAUACCGGUGUGGAAGACGGGUCUCUGGGCUGUUACUGACACUGAGGAGCGAAAGCAUGGGGAGCGAACAGG